rnacentral:rRNA from 1 species
CAUGUAGGCGGAUAGGAAAGUCGGUUGUGAAAUCCCUGGGCUCAACCUAGGAACUGCAUCCGAAACUGCCUGUCUUGAGUAAUGGAGAGGGUGGCGGAAUUCCCGGUGUAGAGGUGAAAUUCGUAGAUAUCGGGAGGAACAUCAGUGGCGAAGGCGGCCACCUGGACAUUUACUGACGCUGAGACGCGAAAGCGUGGGGAGCAAACA